rfam:Sorghum bicolor cultivar BTx623 chromosome 8, whole genome shotgun sequence.
AUUCCAUGAUGGGGACAUUCUAGGAUGUAGUCUUGAAAGCGCUCCCAUGCUUCCGGAAUAGAUUCAUCAUUUUGUUAAUGAAAACUUGUAAUCUUCCCACGGAGAGC